AUGAUUAAGUCAACAAUUUUUCUCAGUUUGCUACUGACGUUCUUAUCAUGUGUCCAGUCCGAGAUUGUUUUAACUCAACCAAAAGCAGAAAGUGGCCAUCCCGGAGCCACCCUGAAACUGACCUGUAAAACCAGCGGCUUCAAUCUUGACAAUACUUGGAUGAGCUGGGUCCGUCAGGUUCCCGGACAGGGGCUGGAGUGGCUGCUUCAAUACAAAAGUUCAUCCAGCAAUAACUAUGCUCCAGCGAUUAAGAAUCGAUUUACUGCGUCCAAAGACACAUCAAACAACAUCUUCGCGUUGGAGAUGGAAAACCUGAAGAUCGAAGACACCGCCAUCUAUUACUGUGCAAGAUACUACUACAGUGGGUCACAUCUUGGUUACUGGGGUCAAGGGACCAUGGUGACGGUGACUUCAGAGACUGUAUCUCCUCCCACACUUUAUGGACUUGUCUCCUCCUGUCAGCAACACAAUGCUGACGGUUCUGUGAUCUUUGGUUGUUUGGCCAUGGACUAUUCCCCUGACGUUACCAACGUGACUUGGAAGAAAGGUGGGGAGACAAUCACGACUGCAUUGAAGACUUAUCCAUCCGUGAGAAACAAGAAGGGAACUUACACCCUGAGCAGCCAGUUAACCCUGCCUGAGUCUGAAGCAGAUUGCAGCAACAUCUCCUGUGAGGUUCAACACAGCGGGUCAAAGCAGAGCACUGGAAUGCCAUGUUCACGUCUCCAGCCAACUCUCCUUCUCACCGUGAGUCCCAGUGAAGAAAUCGCAAGCAGCAAGUUUGCAACCAUCGUCUGUUCAAUCACUGAUUUCCAUCCAAAGGAAAUCUCCGUGACAUGGUUGAAAAAUGGCCAAUCCGUGGAUUCUGUUGUCUUCACGUCUCCUGUGUGUGAGGCGAAUGGGAACUUCUCGGUGAUGAGUCGGCUGACAGUCCCUUAUGGUGAAUGGUUCAACAGCGCAGUGUAUACCUGCCAGGUCACUCAUGGAGAGAGCACUCAAAGUCAAAACAUCACCACACCCCAGGUUAGUGACUGCCACGAUUACACAGUUAAAAUCCUACCACCGCCAGUAGAACAGGUCUUACUGGAGGCGACGGUGACAUUAACCUGUGUUGUGUCCAAUCUUCCUUCUGGAGUCAAUGUCACCUGGAUACAAGAAAAGAAGACUCUGAAAUCAGAGAUUGCUGACCGGCCUGGAGAAGAUCCCGACAGCGUGAUCAGCAAGUUAAGCAUUUCUACUGAAACCUGGCUGAGUCACGUUAGUUUUGAAUGUGUGGUGAACCAUCCGUAUCUACCGACUCCUCUGAGAGACUCCAUCCACAAGAAAAAUGGAGAAAAGCUACUGGAGCCAUCAGUGUCUAUCCUACUGCCACCAACAGAAGACGUUUCCACUCAGAGGUUUCUCUCCCUCACCUGUUUAGUGAAAGGUUUCUACCCCCGAGAGAUCUUCGUCAAGUGGACAAACAAUGACAAGCCAGUGAAUCCCAGUAACUACAAGAACACCGAGGUGAUGGCGGAGAGCGAGAACACUUCCUUCUUCACGUACAGCCUGUUAUCCAUUACAGCAGAGGAGUGGGCCAGCGGUGCUUCUUACUCCUGUGUGGUGGGACAUGAAGCGAUUCCAUUGAAGAUCAUCAACAGAACAGUCGAUAAAUCCAGCGGUAAACCGAGUUUUGUGAACAUUUCACUUGCAUUGAUGGACACUAUUAAUUCAUGUCAAUAA